UCCCUCUGGAGAAAGAUGCCUAGCCUGGG
rnacentral:piRNA from 1 species